AAAGAGACUAUAGUAUAUUUAACACACUAAACACGUGUUUUAGUUUGGAAUUAGAUGACUGCAUUAAUUAAAUUCCUAUUUAUGAACGUUGUUUGUUAUGUCGGCAGAAAUAUCUGUCAUGGUUCUGAUGGUGUAGAAAGUGCCAAGAAAGAGAUAGGUCACAGGUUCAAGGAAGGUGAACUCAUGUCCUGGACACCAUGCGAGUUCAACUGGGUUUACGAAUAAUGUCAAAUCUUAGGACUUUCUAGUAAUAUUUAUGUUCAUGACGUAUUGAUAAUCACAUCUUACAUAAUAUUAUAUACGCAAAUAUGUUUGAAAGGAAUUAAGAUUAAGAAUCAUGGACAAUGGAUGAAAUUCUGUUACAAUCAUAUUUCUACCUGGUAUCAGAAAAGUGCUAUUUUGUAAUGAAAUUUAUGUGUUAUAUAAUUGUCCUUCAGUACUUGAAGAUCCCAUCCUCGUCGCCAUUACUAUGUGUUAUUUAUAUCCAGUCCCUUGAUAUUAAGUGAUAAGUAUUCAGACCCAAGACUGGGAUGGUUUUACACUUUACAAUCAAACAGCACAUACACUCUCACUGACUAUAUUACAGAAUAGUAUAAUAAUAUAUAGAGGCAAUGCAACAAGAGAUGCUGUUCUUUGAUUCGCUGAAAGGCAGAACUUAACAUGAAUAGAUUAAGGUAUUAGAUCACUAAUAGAGAACCUCCUUUUUGAAUAUAGGCCGGUUAUAGUGAAACAUAUGGUCAAACUAAAUCCAACAUGAGAUAUUUGGUAUGGAAUGAGUAGAGAUACACAAGAUAACACACAGAAAAAAAGUCCUCAAAAAUAUCACUACAGGAUACUGAGAUAUCACGUCAUAUUUAUUGGGGGAAAAAGUAUUUUCCAAUGUCCAUUAUCAUGCACCGUGUGCUAUUUUUUCUCUACUUCCGGUAAGAAGUAAACAUCGUAUUUCGCUGUCAAAUUGUUUGGAACACACUCUGUUCGAAGAAUACUGGUUAUUGUCAAGUGAAUCGUGUAUGUGCUGCGGAGAGUUGUGUUAUUUGCGACAUGAAAGACGAACGUCAAAUAGCAACAUUGGGUGAAAAAAUGUGUAGAUAGUUAAUUUCUGCAGCCAGAAAUAAAGAACAAAUGUAUGUUAGACCUGAGAAAAUUGUGUGCUAUGAGUGUAGAAAAAUUACUGCCACCCGAAUCUACUUGGAGAUGCAAACGAUACCUCUAUAACGUAGCGAAACGAACACAUUGAUCUGACUUCUUUUCAUUUCAAAUGCCUGUUCUGAGGUACAGAUGUCAAACAAAAUGACAAAAAGGCAUAUGAUGAUUUCCAAAUUUCAGUCAACAAUAAAGAAAAAUUGGAAGCGAAGUCUUCUGUUGACUCUAAUCCGUACAUGAUCUAACAGCAGUUGGUGCAAGAUAUCAUCAAAAAUGUAGCACACAUUUCAGAACAGGAUGCCAAGUUCCAACUCAACAUCAAACACCUCAAAAUACUGUAAAACGUAGUAAAGGUAGACCAACAAAAGAAUCAUCUGAAGAAGCAUUUUUGAAAACCAUGCAUUAUUUUGAAAACACUGAAAGUGAGCAAAUAGCUUAAAUUAUUAAAUGAUCCCAGGCAGAGUCUUUAUAAAUAAACACUCUUAACAUGAUGACACUGAAACAGCUGGUAGUAUAUCAUUCAUAAUUAUGUUUGUACAAAGGUAAAACAAAUGAAACAUUAAACACAUUGAAGUACAGAAAAUUCAUUACGAAGGCAACAAGCACAUCGGUAGUAAAGAUACAGAGCCUAACUCCUACAGAGGCAACUGCAAAGUUUCAUAGUUUUAGAGUGCACUGCCAUUAAAAUAGAGACAUGAAAUGGAAAGGAAACGAACCCUCUUGACUUGGGAUGGUACAAACGUGGUGAUAAACUUGUUCCUUGACACAGAGGUUGCUCUACUGGGAUGACUGUAGAUGUCAUGACAUUAACACUUAACUGACUUUCAUAAUCUUAAGAGAGCAAUGAAAAGUUUUUCGAACAUACUAAUUUUAUAAUAGAGCAUAUUUUUACAGUAUAUCGCAUCGCAGAGUUUUGUUCUCACAUUUUUGUACAUUACGGCUUUGUGUACAUUUGCUGUUAGCUGAAAAUUGUAGUUUAGUAUCAAUUUUAAAACAAUUUUAACAUUUUACUGUAGUGACGCCCUGUUCUAUAUAUACUAUAGUACAGUCACUGUUGAUCUGGGAUUCUUUUCCUGAAUGUUUCUUAAUAAUUUUUUAUUAUUAUACUGUUGUUAAUAUAACAUUUAUUACAUUUAGUGUGAGUUUCAAGGAAAUAGUUUAAAGAUAUUGCAUGCACGUUUUAUUGAUGGGUGGACCCGCCCGCUUAGCUCAUUGGGAAGUGCACCGAUCUACAGAUCGCGGGGUCGUGAGUUGGAUCCUCGGGCGGGCCGUAUGUUCUCCAUGACGACUUGAUAAAAGACAUUGUGUCUGAAAUCA
rnacentral:lncRNA from 1 species